rnacentral:misc_RNA from 1 species
UAUUUUUUAAGUAUAUGCAUUUUCCUUAAUUUCAAAUUAAGAUGGGUAAGAGCAAGAAGAUUUUCAUUGCCCUCCUUACCAUCCUCCUCAUCAUUUUGGUUAUGGUAGUGCCUCCAACAUCUGCUCGUCCAAUGAGAAAAUGCGUAUUUCCAUGUCCAAGUCGACCAGGACCAGGAGGACCAGGGAAGCGCAGAUGAGUGAGUAAUAACAAUAUGAAGUCCCCGCUGAGAAGCUCAAAUAAAUAUUAUAACCCUGUGGAACUGAAGAUGCUAUCCUUUGUUUCUUUUCUUUUCUGUUGGACUUUAAUGCUAAAGAGAGUUACAUUCUCUUCUUUUUGGUGUUGAUAUAGAUCACACCAUUAAUUUUAG